rnacentral:lncRNA from 1 species
CAAGGAGGGUUCUUGUUCUGGGCACACAGCUAUGGAAAAACAUUAAAAAAUAAUCUCUAAGGAAUUUCAGCCUGAAUGCCUGGAAAUACUCAGUAUGAGGCACAGCUAGUGAUUAGAAAUGUAUCUGGCAGAGACUAUGGGAUUUCUCCAUCAGUCAGCUUCCCUCUUUGUGAGCACAGGCAGGUUCAUACCAGCAUUCAUAUAAUUUUGUCUUAACUGCUGCUGCUUCUUAGUAUAAAAAGACUUCAAAUGGCAUUUUUCUUACUAGCCUUCCUAGCAGAUGCUCCCAUGGCACCUAGGAUCUGGGAGCCUCAAUAUGAUGAAUUAGUCUCCCCCUCCAAUAUCUUUACAGGCUGAAGAUACCAACUUGUUGACUGGAUGAACUCACAGGGACCUGGAGCAGUUCAGUGACUUAGUGUUAAACCUCUGUUUCUUCUUAAGAGGCACAACCAGAGGCUACUGAUACCUUGACCUUUUGUUUCUUGGAGUACCCAGUGGAAAUAAUGGACUAAUAAGAUCCAGGAAGAGUCAGCUGAUGGUCCCACCCAACUGCUGUUGUCAGUCUAUGAAGCCAAGAGAAGUGAUGGUGACGAGAGGUUACUGCCAGCUCCCUGAGGGAUGGUGCUGGCAUUGUGGAUGGACACCGGUUUGUAAGGCACUGCCUGUACAGGUCUCCUCUGAUUUGUCUGCAUUAGUUUCUACUGGAUGUAUCCCUCAUGAGACUGUGCUGACUGAACAAUGCUUGCACUAUUGAAAGUAAUAUCCUGACAAUCCAGUCAUAUCUUAUUACAAGCAGAUUCCAGAGCAAUGUGUACUUGCAAAAAUUUAAUUGCAUACUUGUAUUAAAACACAGUUGUAUUUGCACUGUAAUAUAAAAGAAAUGAAGAAUGCAUGUGGUUGGUAUCUUAUUAUUUAAAAUGAGUAUGGUAAUAUAGUCAUUAAUAUAUUUUUAUGCAUCACUCACUGUAGAAAUUUAAAUUAGUAGUUUACUAUGAUGAGUUUUAAGGCAAUAUUUCUUAUUAAAAAUGGAGCAUCUGAAAGUUUUAGGUUCACAAAGGGUUUAUAAUUAAGCCAUGAAAAUUAAUUUAGCCAUGUAAAACGG